AUGUAAAUGAUGCAUACCUCCUUUCAUUUCUUCUAGUCUGAGUUCUCUUCUACACCAAGCCCCCCUGAGUUUAUCUUCCACGAAGCAUAGAGGUUGACGAACCACAUUCUUAAUGGACCCAGACUCGGACUCUGAGGACCCUCUGACUGAGUCGGUAGGGUCAAAUGAUGUUGAUGUUGGAGACAGAGAGCACUUGGAUAUCGUUGAUGACCAAGAGAAUGCGGUUGAUGUUGCACAAGGGCAAGAUGAUGUUGCUGAAGAAUAAGAAUCUUCUUGAUGGCCAAGAGCCGAAGUUCCUUUUGGAGCAGAUCGGUAGGAAUGUAUACGAAGAUGUCAAGCAAAAACUGUGGUAUUCCGUGUAUGCCAUAGGUGCUGUAGUGGUUUGUUCUGCCAUAGGAUACUGCUUUUACUACAAGAAGUACACUUGUUACAUGUAGAUUACAUUUUUUAGCGGAUAAAGAAUAAAUUAAAUACUGUUAAGGGAAAUAA